rnacentral:rRNA from 1 species
UACGAAGGGUGCAAGCGGUACUCGGAAUUACUGGGCGUAAAGGGUGCGUAGGUGGUUUUUUAAGUCCGUUGUGAAAUCCCUGGGCUCAACCUGGGAAUGGCAGUGGAUACUGGAAAGCUAGAGUGCGGUAGAGGGUAGUGGAAUUCCCGGUGUAGCAGUGAAAUGCGUAGAGAUCGGGAGGAACACCAGUGGCGAAGGCGGCUACCUGGACCAGCACUGACACUGAGGCACGAAAGCGUGGGGAGCAAACAGG